AUUGAACGCUGGCGGAAUGCUUUACACAUGCAAGUCGAACGGCAGCACGGACUUCGGUCUGGUGGCGAGUGGCGAACGGGUGAGUAAUGUAUCGGAACGUGCCCAGUCGUGGGGGAUAACGUAGUGAAAAUUACGCUAAUACCGCGUACGAUCUAUGGAUGAAAGCGGGGGAUCGCAAGACCUCGCGCGAUUGGAGCGGCCGAUAUCAGAUUAGGUAGUUGGUGGGGUAAAGGCCCACCAAGCCAACGAUCUGUAGCUGGUCUGAGAGGACGACCAGCCACACUGGAACUGAGACACGGUCCAGACUCCUACGGGAGGCAGCAGUGGGGAAUUUCGGACAAUGGGCGAAAGCCUGAUCCAGCCAUUCCGCGUGCAGGAUGAAGGCCCUCGGGUUGUAAACUGCUUUUGUACAGAACGAAAAGGUUUCUACUAAUACUAGGAGCUCAUGACGGUACUGUAAGAAUAAGCACCGGCUAACUACGUGCCAGCCGCCGCAGUAA
rnacentral:rRNA from 1 species